AUGAGACGUUUGUGCAAUCCACAUAUGAAGAUAAGGAAAAAAGAGAAGUUUAGGUGCGGUUCAAAAAGUCUUCUCACGUCACUUGUGGGCCAAGAGAAGAUAGAGUCCAUGUCUCCCAUGUUUUGGAUUCAGAUUCGGACUGCACAGACAUACCUGACUCAAAAUGUCAAUAACUCUUUCAUACGGACUUCGAAUUGGGUGAUUAUUUUUUUGUUGGAAAGUAGAUUUCGUGCUCUUUCCAACCCAAUUGGAUUCACCUUAAAAUUCGUCUGGAGUGUUGAGUUAUCGAUGAAACAAUCUGACGCUGCAGCAAAAUCCGAGUCAAACUACAAGUCCAAAGGUGUUGCAUCACCUCCACUUGGGCCCAUGAGCCUUGUAUGA
rnacentral:rRNA from 1 species